rnacentral:lncRNA from 13 species
GAACAUGAUAUGUCUUCUAAUAGCUGUGCCACUUACUGGCAGCAGUGGGAGAUAUGGACUAUUAUUUCCAGCUUCAGAAAAGUUUCAUCAAUAAUUACAUCCAUGUACAAUACCUCAAUAUUCUGAAUAUAAAUAGUUUUCUAGUCAACACUGUAGAUUUUCUAGUAACACAACUGAAAGUGGAUAUCUUUCAGUCAUUGUUUAAAACACAAAUCUCUGCUAUGAGUUUCAGCAGCUAGAAGUAAUACCAAUCAAAAAGAAAUGUGGAUAUUUCUCUCCUGUCCAGCUUAAAAUGAUCAGUUCUGAGAUUUAUCAACAAAAGAGUUCAUUGGAGGAAAAUUACUUUUCUUGAAAGAAAGAAAGAAAGAAAAAGGAAUGAAGAAGAGGAAAAAGGAAGAGGAGGAGGGAGAGAGAACGGGAGUGUUGCUUAAUUGCCCAGGCUAGAAUGCAGUCUAAAAAUGGUCUGGGAUGUAGGAAGAGGAAAGAGGAAAACAGAGCAAAAUCACCACUCUGCCGUUUUCUUGGUCCCAAGGUCCACAGCAAAUCUGCCUUCUUAUCUCCACUUUAUAUAACUUUCUUAUGUUUGUUUUAUAUAUAUAAUGUCUUGAUUUUCAGCUAUACCUACAAGAGGAAUAGGAAAAAGUGGGUCUACUCCAUCUCCUACACACUUGGGAGCUAAGAAACACACUUCUGAACAAUCCAUGGUUCAAAGAGCAAAUCUCAAGGAUAAUUUAAAAAUAUAUAUUAAGACAUGAAUAAACCUACCUGAG